rnacentral:rRNA from 1 species
CAGCCGCCGCGGUAAUACGAAGGGGGCUAGCGUUGCUCGGAAUGACUGGGCGUAAAGGGCGCGUAGGCGGCGGCCAAAGUCAGGCGUGAAAUUCCCGGGCUCAACCUGGGGGCUGCGUUUGAUACUUGGUUGCUUGAGUGGGGAAGAGGGUCGUGGAAUUCCCAGUGUAGAGGUGAAAUUCGUAGAUAUUGGGAAGAACACCGGUGGCGAAGGCGGCGACCUGGUCCUUUACUGACGCUGAGGCGCGAAAGCGUGGGGUGCAAACAGGAUUAGAGACCCGAGUAGUCCCUGUCUCUUAUAC